rfam:Rattus norvegicus chromosome 6, whole genome shotgun sequence.
UGUACCCGGCGCCGCGCCCCCAGAUCUGCAUCGGAAUGUAGAAAAGAUCUUUUAGAAAAAAAAGUUUUGAAUUCCUCAAUGAUUUUUCUUCUGGAAAGGCAGCUUAAGAUAAUUAUUUCAGCUUUAUUGAGGGCAGAUUAGUUGAAGUCUGGGCGCUGCGUUUCAAUACGCGUUGUACAUGGGCCGACAAUGUGG